rnacentral:rRNA from 1 species
GACGAACGCUGGCGGCGUGCCUAAUACAUGCAAGUUGAGCGCUGAAGGUUGGUACUUGUACCAACUGGAUGAGCAGCGAACGGGUGAGUAACGCGUGGGGAAUCUGCCUUUGAGCGGGGGACAACAUUUGGAAACGAAUGCUAAUACCGCAUAAAAACUUUAAACACAAGUUUUAAGUUUGAAAGAUGCAAUUGCAUCACUCAAAGAUGAUCCCGCGUUGUAUUAGCUAGUUGGUGAGGUAAGGGCUCACCAAGGCGAUGAUACAUAGCCGACCUGAGAGGGUGAUCGGCCACAUUGGGACUGAGACACGGCCCAAACUCCCACGGGAGGCAGCAGUAGGGAAUCUUCGGCAAUGGACGAAAGUCUGACCGAGCAACGCCGCGUGAGUGAAGAAGGUUUUCGGAUCGUAAAACUCUGUUGGUAGAGAAGAACGUUGGUGAGAGUGGAAAGCUCAUCAAGUGACGGUAACUACCCAGAAAGGGACGGCUAACUACGUG